CCGUUGUGCCACCGUAAUCCAACAAUGGUAUCAGAGCAACUCUAACUCAAUCAAAGAUCAUUAUUAUGAUCAUGAAUUAAAUCAAGUGUUAGUUAUAUAUGAUGAUAUAUAUGUGAUCAUGUUAUAAGAUUCAUUGUGUAUGCAAUCAUAUGUCAUUAUGCUUUUUAUAUAUCAUGCAAUAUGAUGUUAAGUUAGGAUGUGCAUAAGACCAGGAUGAAAGAUUAGUAUCCUA
rnacentral:lncRNA from 1 species